AUUUUUUUUUUUUUUUUUUUUUUAAAGGAGAAUCCCUCAGGCCCCAACCUUGGCAUAGCCAACCUGCUUAAAUUGAGAAUUAAACCUUCUCUGGAGCUCUGCCACUCUUACGAUUAAUUCCUGAGGCUGGUGCUCAACUUUUUCUGCAUCUGCUGCAAGAGUUACGCCAGCACUUAGACUUGCCACAGAUCAAGUUACCAAUUGCUUCUGUUGUGUUCACUUAUUCCCAGAUGCUCUUUGAG
rnacentral:lncRNA from 1 species